rnacentral:rRNA from 1 species
CCUACGCGUGGUAGCAGUGGGGAAUAUUGCACAAUGGGGGAAACCCUGAUGCAGCGACGCCGCGUGAGUGAAGAAAUAAUUCGUUAUGUAAAGCUCUAUCCGCAGGGAAUAAAAUAACGUUACCUGCUUAAGAAGCCCCGGCUAACUACGUGCCAGCAGCCGCGGUAAUACGUAGGGGGGAAGCUUUAUCCGGAUUUACGGGGUGUAAAGGGAGCGUAGACGGCAGUGCAAGUCUGGAGUGAAAGGCGGGGGCCCAACCCCCGGACUGCCCUGGAAACUGUACGGCUGGAGUGCAGGAGAGGUAAGUGGAAUUCGUAGUGUAGCGGUGAAAUGCGUAGAUAUUAGGAGGAACACCAGUGGCGAAGGCGGCUUACUGGACUGUAACUGACGUUGAGGCUCGAAAGCGUGGGGAGCAAACAGGAUUAGAUACCCUGGUAGUC